UACGGAGGGUGCAAGCGUUAUCCGGAAUGAUUGGGCGUAAAGCGUCCGCAGGUGGCUGUGUAAGUCUGCUGUUAAAGAGUCAUGCUCAACAUGAUAAGAGCAGUGGAAACUACACGGCUAGAGUGCGUUCGGGGCAGAGGGAAUUCCUGGUGUAGCGGUGAAAUGCGUAGAGAUCAGGAAGAACACCGGUGGCGAAAGCGCUCUGCUAGGCCGCAACUGACACUGAGGGACGAAAGCUAGGGGAGCGAAUGGG
rnacentral:rRNA from 1 species